CCUUUGUUAAAAUGAAGUCCACUAGCUUGCAUUGAUGCUUCCUCAAACGGUUCCUUUUAAUUAAAAUUUUAAAGUAGCAACAAUAUUACCUAUAAAAGAAAACGAGACAAAAUUUAAGUGGAGAUAAAAUUCAAGAUUAAGAUUGGUCAAAUUGAGAAAAUAUAAGUGGAGAUGAAAAUAUAAGUGAGGAAAAUGUUUCAGGGGAGCGGUGCUCAAAUUGAGAUUCAGAUUGGUCAGGAAUCACCAAAGAGAGUCCUAAUACUCCCUGACUUGAAUUUGGACCUGCGUCAAGAAGAGAUCUAGAAUAAAUGGAAGGGAUCCUGAGUACAAAUGGUGAAUGUGAGUCUAAAAUUUGGUAUUAUGCAUACUUGUGGUUGAACUGUUUCUAUGUGUUUUUUCUCUUUCCAUAGAGAUUUAAAUUAUACUUUAUUUGAGACUUAUGUUUAUUUUGUUGUAUCCAAUAAUUAUAAACUGUUUAUAUUAUUUAUCAGUAGCAUUUUUAUUUUCAACUAAAAAAAUAAUGCGCCAAAACUAUACUUUGUUCGCAUUUAGUGUCCAAUAGUGCCUAAAAAAAUAACGCGCCAAAAACUUAGCUUUAACACUAAUUUCCAUAGGUGAAUGCUGCAACAAAGAGAUUCACCUAUGGGAAUUAGUAAUAUCUCUCUUUAGUGUUCAAGCUAAGUUUGGCGCAUUAUUUUUUAGUAGAAAUAAAAAUGCUACUGAUAAAAAAAAACUACUUUUUUUGCACAAUCUGAUGCUUUUACAUUAUUUAUGCAACACAAACCUAGAAAAUACAACUACAAGUCUACAACAACAAGAACAAGCAAGCAAACCUUAUUGUAAUAACCUAAUUAUGUACUUAAUGAUAAAUCAGAUCGAUUCAUGAUACAAUAAUGAGAUCAACCAAAUUUCAGCACACAAACAAAGUAAUAAAAAAUUGAAACCAAAAUCAAUAUACCUUUGUUUAAAUUGAAGUCCACUAGCUUGCAUUGAUGCUUCGUGAAAUGGUUCCUUUUAAUUAAAAUUUUAAAGUAGCAUGGAUUUUACCUAUGAAAGAAAAAGAACGAAAAUAUAAGUGGAGAUUAAAUUGAAGAUUGAUUAUGAGAAUACAUAGCGUUGAAUAGUGUUUACCGUCAUCAGGUAUGGUGGCUGGUCUAUCACCGGCGGCGAAAAUGGUUGCCAUGGCAGAUUCCGGCGAAAAGUGGAACACAGAAAAGGGGAAAGCAGCUCGGUCGGUGAAAAUGAUUAGUUAUAUGUACAACUUUAGGGUAUAUAUGUACAACUUUAUGGUAUAUUUGGUUCGGGGGUUUUGGAGGGAAGGAAAGGUAAUAUUUUAAAUUUUGUGUGUUUGGUUCAAUCUUUUAGAGGGUAAAAAAGAAAGGGUGAUGCUAACGGUGUCUCUGGGGCACUUAUUAAGCAUACCAAAAAAAGAAAUAAAAGAUGUAUGUUAUUCAAAAACAAAUUUAAGACACAAAAUUGACACAUAUGUGGAUUUAAAAUACAUCCGCUUCCUUCCUAUUUUGUUUUUUGUUUUUUUUUAAAAANNNNNNNNNAGAGUUUUUUUUGCUCUGUAUGGACUUAGCCCACCGAAAUUGGCACCAGUGGGAAUCGAACCUGAGACCUUGAGAGGAGCAUACUCCAAGGGCCCAAGCCAACACCACUCGACCAACCCCAAGUGGGUUCCCUUCCUUUUUUGUUGUUGUUGUUGUUGUUGUUGUUGUUGUUGUUGUUGUUAUUGUCGUCGGUGACAAAUACAAAUGUGGGUUUUAAUAGUUAUUAUCUUAUAAAAAAAGAAAUUCUUUUCAAUUUAAAAAAUAUUCAAUACACUUUUAUUUUAUUUUUCGCAUAAAUCGGAUAUCUCUGCGCACAACUACAUACUCUAAUCCUCCCUCAAACCUUAUGUAAUUAAUUUAACAUUGUAAAUUCAAAACAUUUUUAGUCCCGUUUGAUUUAGAUUCUCUAAAAAUUAUUUUGUUUAAAAAAAGAAGUUAGAAUUUGCUUCCGGUGAUUUGAGUGGCUUGUAUUUGUGUUAUUUGGAAGAAGCUAAAAUUUGUUUCAUGAAUAGGUGAUUUGAAGGUUCAUCUCACCUGGAUUGAAUUGUGAUGACGUCUACUUUAAUUUAUGUGUCAAGUGUCACAUUUGUCUUAAAUUAUGGUGCAUCACACACACUCUGUGUUUGUCUCAAAUUUUUCCUAGAUAUGUUCAUGAAUAAGACGGUACAAAGUAUUAUGAGAUGUCUAAUCUUCAAAUAUUUUUUCUCAAUAUAUACUUACCCUAAGAAAGAUAUAUAUCCAGAAUUGAUAUCGUAUCUAACAAGAAUGGAAAAGAAUUUAAUUUAUAUGCACCGUCAGUCUAAAGUUAUUUUGCACAUGCGUCCAAUAAUAUACCGACACAUCAUGUAUGGUAAUUAAAAACACAUGAUGUGUCACAUUCAUUAAAUGAUUUGGCAACACGUCAUUAGAUGUAUGUGUAAAAAAUAUUUACAUCGACGGUGCACAACAAUUAAACUCAAUGGAAAAAUACGUACCAGAAGAGUGAGUCAUCAGACAACACGUUUAGACUCAAGUAGUCUAUCUUCUCCGACUAGGAUCGUGUUUCUAGCAGUGAGCUAUUCGCUAAAAGUUGAAAUUGGUCUGAAAUUGCAAACCCUAAGGCAAUUGGAAAAGGUAUUGGUAGGCUAGUGUAUUUAUAUUGAACUGAAUGGCCUUAAUAACAAAAUUAUUUACUGCUUCAUUAGUUGUUUUGUUGAUUAAUUUACAAAUUUUAAGAUUUGUUCCAAUAUUGAUCUAGUCUUUAUGACCUAUUUGAUUUUGAAGUUUUCUAGCUUAUAAAUCAUUACAGUGGAUGUCUUAUAUUUGUAUUUGGCCCUAUGUUAUUCUUAUAAUUUCUUCUUUCUGGACCAUUUCUUUCUCAUUUGAUAAUUUUUUUUUUAUUUCACGAGUUCAGUCAGUCAUCAAACCCAGUAACACCUGAUUCCAACUAGUGACUCUAGUGUUAAUAAACAAGAAAUACAAAUAAAAAUGGCAGUAUAGUAAUUUAGUGUUGAGGGGGUAUUUAAGAACAAACCACUCACUUUUCCNNNNNNNNNNNNNNNNNNNNNNNNNNNNNNNNNNNNNNNNNNNNNNNNNNNNNNNNNNNNNNNNNNNNNNNNNNNNNNNNNNNNNNNNNNNNNNNNNNNNNNNNNNNNNNNNNNNNNNNNNNNNNNNNNNNNNNNNNNNNNNNNNNNNNNNNNNNNNNNNNNACUUAUUUGAGUAACCUAGGCAACUACAAUCGAAUCACCAUUCAAAUUUAUUGAAUAACCUAAACAAUUUUAGCAUCUGCAAUCUAAAUGCAAAUGAUUCAAAUAUCGAAAGAAUAAAAGUAGUAUUGGCUCUACCUGCAAGAAAUGCGUCAGGAAAUAAUGGUUGCGGUAGAGGAAGGGGUAUAAUGCAAUAAAUUUGAAUGUUGAUUCGAUUCUAGUUGCCUAGGUUAUUAAAAUAAGUAGCUCGAGAAGCCUUAUGGGGCACAGUUUGGUUAAAAACAUUCAACACUUAUUGAGUUUGAAUUGGGAUGUUUCCGUGUCUCAUGCAUGCUUACCGACAGUCAAAUUGAUGAGUGAAUGCGCUGACAAAUUAGGGUUGCUUUUUUUUCCUCCAAACCAACAAAGGCACUUAACGCUAGCUGUUGUUAUGAUCUAUUUCUUCAAUUGCAUGCAAGAUUGAUGCUGAGUUAUAUGGAAUGUGAUAUGGGUUUGGGGUGAUGGUGGUGGAACAAAAGAGAGAGGUGAGAGAGUCUGAUUUAGUUUUCAGGAAAUGGUUAUGGAGAAUGAAGGGAAAAGUGAGUGGUUUGUUCUUAAAUACCCCCUCAACACUAAAUUACUAUACUGCCAUUUUUAUUUGUAUUUUUUGUUUAUUAACACUAGAGUCACUAGUUGGAAUCAGGUGUUACUGGGUUUGGAUGACUGACUGAACUCGUGAAAUAAAAAAAUGAUCAAAUGAGAAAGAAAUGGUCCAGAAAGAAGAAAUUAUAAGGAAAACAUAGGGCCGAAUACAAAUAUAAGACAUCCACUUUAAUGAUUUAUAAGUCAGAAAACUUCAAAAUCAAAUAGGUCACAAAGGCUAGAUCAAUAUUGACACAAAUCUUAAAAUUUGUAAAUUAAUCGACAAAACAACUAAUGAAGCCAUAAAUAAUUUUGUUAUUAAGGCCAUUCAGUUCAAUAUAAAUACACUAGCCUACCAUUACCUUUUCCAAUUGCCUUAGGGUUUGCAAUUUCAGACCAAUUUCAACUUUUAGCGAAUAGCUCACUGCUAGAAACACGAACCUAGUCAGAGAAGAUAGACUACUUGAGUCUAAACGUGUUGUGUGAUGAUUCACUCUUCUGGUAUGUAUUUUUCCAUUCUUGUUAGAUACGAUAUCAAUUCUUUCAUUAAACUAUUCACUGCAUAUUUUCAAAAGGAUUUUCCAACUGUAGCAUUAUUAUUAUUAGGAGUAAUUAAUAUAUUAAAGGUUCAUUUCUCUUUCACUUACUAACAUUUUAUUUUUUGUAUUUCACACAGUUUUUUUAUUGAUAUUGUUGCGGUUGCGAUUCUAGAAACUUCGAUCUCUUCGUCAUGACUACUGCUUCUAUUGGAAAUUCAUUCAUCACCGUCAAUCCUCCUGAGCUCUGUUUCCAAUGUAUGUAAUCUUAUCUUACUUUUUUUUAAGAGGAUUUUUUAUAAUCCAGUUGAAUCGAAUGUAACACUUUUUUUUCUAUGAUCACUGACUCAUUGUGGUUUCUUAUCAAUCCAAUCUCGUUGAAUUAAUCACCGCCGUUUAAUAGUGACGAAAAACCUGUGGAGCAUACAAAGUGGAUUCUUCCCUCUUAACAAAAUUUUCUGGAGUCAGGAUCGAACCUCUGACCAUCUAUUUAAGAGGUCUAAGACCCUUACUACUCGGACCAAUUCAUUGUUGGUCGGUAGAANNNNNNNNNNNNNNNNNUAUAUGCCUUCUCUUUGAUUAGUUUGAAGGUUUGUUCUUUUACCACUUGAGAAUUGGUUUAGUUUUCUGUAGUUAUUAGUUUCAUCACUUGUUCUUAACUGUGAAUUUUGUUUAGAUAUAUAAGAUGUUUUGUGAAGUUUGAAAGCAAUGCUUAUAAAACUUUGUUAGUAUCAGUAAGCUGUGUGUAGCGGUAAUCCAAAUUCAUUUUCAUUAUGUUUUCCUUAUUAGUCUUGUGAGUUCUUAUACUGCUAAUGUUCAUGUUACCAGUUGAGCUAGAGCAGCAAACAUUUUGCGAUCUUAAAGUUUCGAAUAAGACAGAAUACUUNNNNNNNNNNNNNNNNNNNNNNNNNNNNNAUUGCUAUUGUAUGAUCCAAACUUUCAGGGACAACACCAAAGAAGAUUGCCUAUAAUCUUAUGGACAGCAGCCAAAGAACAUGCUAUGAAGAUUUAAGUGGUUCUGAAAUUGACUUGUACGUGAGUUUUUACAAUGAAAGAGCAAAUGAUAAUAAAUUGGUAGACUCAACACAUAUUUGCAUAACUCAAAAGCAGAUUCAACUAUUGACAACAGAAUUGUUGUAUUAGCUUUAGAAGCAAUGAAGACGGCUGACAACACAACUUCGGUAGCUCAAAGAGCAAUGAAGAAUGAAAAUGGCGGAACCUAAUACAAAUAUGAUGAAGACUGAAAUGGUGGAACCUAAUACAGAUCUACCGAAGACUGAAAUGGUGGAACCUGAUACAAUUGUAAAUGCAACAAGAACAAAAACAAGUAACAUAUCCAGUGGAAACUCAACAACAGUUGAGGAAAAUGUUCAGGGGAGAGUGGUGCUCAAAGUGAGAUUCAAAUUGGCCAAGAAUCACCAAAGAGAGUCCCAAUGCUUCCGGACUUGAAUUUGGAGCCGCGUCAGGAAGACAUGUAAAAGAAAUGGAAGGGGUCCUUAGUAUAAAUGGUGAAUUUGUGUUUGGAAGGGAUCCUUGGUACUAUGUAGAGUAGUGGCUGAACAGUUUCUAUGUGUUUUUCUCUUUCCGUGGAGAUUUAUGUUGUUGUUUCAAAAACAAACUUCUUAGGUUGUUAAAUUAUACUUUGUUUGAGACUCGUGCUUAUUUGCUAAAUCUAAUAAUUAUGAAUUAUUUAUAUUAUUCAUCAGUGGCAUUUUUUUUUAAGUAUGAACACAGUUUUGUCUUUGUAAAUUUGGCUUCUUGUCAUAUAGGUUGCUUCUGUUCAUACCCUUGUUUGGCUGCAUCAACUUUAGAAUUUUAUUACAUUGAAUUGUGUGUUUGUUUCAUGAAAAAGAGCAAAGAACAUUUACACGACAAAUAUAUCUCAUCAUAGGAGUUGUUUUUUCUUUCCCAAAGGAAGAUUGAAAUCAUGACAAAUCCUUCAUUCAAGUAAUGAUAGUGCACAAUAGCAAGCAAACUAAACAUUAACAAUACAAUCAAUACAAUACAGCAUCAUUAAGAUCAAAGUAAUAGAAAAUUGAAACAAAAAACCAUGUACCUUUCUUAAAAUUGAAGUCCACUAGCUUGCAUUGAUGCUUCCUAAAACGGUUCCUUUUAAUUAAAAUUUUAAAGUAGUAACAAAUAUUACCUAUAAAAGAAAAUGAGAGAAAAUAUAAGUGGAGAUGAAAUUCAAGAAUAAGAUUGGUCAAAUUGAGAAAAUAUAAGUGAAGAUGAAAAUAUAAGUGAGGAAAAUGUUGCUGGGGAGUGGUGCUCAAUUGAGAUUUAGAUUGGUCAGGAAUCACCAAAGAGAGUCCCAAUACUCCCUGACUUGAAUUUGGAGCCGCGUCAGAAAACAUCUAGAAUAAAUGGAAGGGAUGCUUAGGACAAAUGGUGAAUGUGNNNNNNNNNNNNNNNUGGUUGAAGUGUUUCUAUGUGUUUUUCUCUUUCCGUGUAGAGAUUUAAAAAAUUACGCGCCAAAAUUUGGUACUAUGUGUUUUUCUCUUUCCGUAGAGAUUUAAAAUAGCGCGCCAUAAUUAUAUUGUGUCCAAUAGUGCUAAAAAAAUUACACGCCAAAAAUGUAGCUUGAACACUAAAUAGAAAUUACUAAUUUCCAUAGGUGAAUGCUGCAACAAAGAGCAUCAAUGUGAUUUGAUCGAUGCAACGAAGGCACAAUCUGCUGCCUUUACAGUAUUUGUGCAACACAAACCUAGAAAAUACAACUACAACAACAAGAACAUACCUAGAAAAUACAACAACAACAACAACAACAAGCAAGCAAACCUUAUUGUAAUAACCUAACUAUGAGAUCAACCAAAUUUCAGCACACAAACAAAUCAAAUUUCAAGCUUAUAUUCAGUCAAUACAAUACAACAUCAUUAAAAUUAAAGUAACAGAAAAUUGAAACCAAAGUCCAAAUUCAAUGUACCUUUGUUAAAAUUGAAGUCUACUAGCUUGCAUUGAUGCUUCCUCAAGUUGUUCCUUUUAAUUAGAUCCAUAAUUAAAAUUUAAGUAGUAUCAAUUUUACCUAUGAAAGAAAAAGAACGAAAAUAUAUAAGUGGAGUUGAAAUUCAAGAUUGAUGAUGAUGAUGAUGAUAAUGAUAAGAAUACAUAGCGUUGAUUGGUGUUUACCGUCAGGUCUGGUGGCUAGUCUAUCACCAGCGGCGAAAAAUGGCUUUCAUGGCAGAUCCAGCGCCGAGAAGAGGGGGGACCAAGCUUAAACCCUCAACAAUUGUUGUGCACCGUAGGUGUAAUUUUUUUUUAAAAAAAGUGGGAUACAAAAAGGGGAUCAAGC
rnacentral:lncRNA from 1 species